AUGUUGGGGGCGAGCACAUGCUGCAGCGCACGGUGCUCCAGUUCUUUCAUUCAGUCAAGUUCUUUCAUUCAGUCAUGUUCUUUCAUUCAGUCAAAUUCAGUCAAAUUUUCUGAAGCUAGCAUCCUUUUUUACUACGUACAUCCUUUUUUUGUUUUCAGCAACUAUAGGUGCUACUACAUCUCUCUUUUUUUUGCAGGGACCAGGGCCAGGAAUUAA
rnacentral:rRNA from 1 species